rfam:Felis catus isolate Cinnamon breed Abyssinian chromosome B1, whole genome shotgun sequence.
GCCUGGCUGGCUCAGUUGGUAGAGCGUGCGACUCUCGCUCUUGGGGUUGUGAGUUCAAGACCCACGUUGGGCA